rnacentral:rRNA from 1 species
UGGCUCAGAACGAACGCUGGCGGCAGGCUUAACACAUGCAAGUCGAACGCCCCGCAAGGGGAGUGGCAGACGGGUGAGUAACGCGUGGGAAUCUACCGUGCCCUGCGGAAUAGCUCCGGGAAACUGGAAUUAAUACCGCAUACGCCCUACGGGGGAAAGAUUUAUCGGGGUAUGAUGAGCCCGCGUUGGAUUAGCUAGUUGGUGGGGUAAAGGCCUACCAAGGCGACGAUCCAUAGCUGGUCUGAGAGGAUGAUCAGCCACAUUGGGACUGAGACACGGCCCAAACUCCUACGGGAGGCAGCAGUGGGGAAUAUUGGACAAUGGGCGCAAGCCUGAUCCAGCCAUGCCGCGUGAGUGAUGAAGGCCUUAGGGUUGUAAAGCUCUUUCACCGGAGAAGAUAAUGACGGUAU